CAAGGCACAGUUCUGUGGGCGG
rnacentral:miRNA from 1 species